AUUGAACGCUGGCGGCAGGCUUAACACAUGCAAGUCGAGCGGGCGGCGGACGGGUGAGUACUGUCUGGGAAACUGCCUGAUGGAUCGGUAUGGUUACUGGAAACGGUAGCUAAUACCGCUUACCUCCAGAUGUUCCCAGAUGGGAUUAGCUAGUAGGUGGGGUAAUGGCUCACCUAGGCGACGAUCCCUAGCGGGUCUGAGAGGAUGACAAGCCAAACUGUGAAUGAGACACGGGACAGAGUCCUAGGGGAGGUCGGAGGGGUAAAUAUGGCACAAUGGGGGCAAGCGUGACAGAGCCACGCAGCGUGGGUGAAGAAGGGCUUAGGGUUGUAAAGCACUCUGAGCGGGGAAGCGUUACUCGAAGAAGACGCAACGGCUAACUCCAGGUCAGCAGCCGCGGUAAUUC
rnacentral:rRNA from 1 species